GACGAACGCUGGCGGCGUGCUUAACACAUGCAAGUCGAACGGAAAGGCCCUGCUUUUGUGGGGUGCUCGAGUGGCGAACGGGUGAGUAACACGUGAGUAACCUGCCCUUGACUUUGGGAUAACUUCAGGAAACUGGGGCUAAUACCGGAUAGGAGCUCCUGCUGCAUGGUGGGGGUUGGAAAGUUUCGGCGGUUGGGGAUGGACUCGCGGCUUAUCAGCUUGUUGGUGGGGUAGUGGCUUACCAAGGCUUUGACGGGUAGCCGGCCUGAGAGGGUGACCGGCGACAUUGGGACUGAGAUACGGCCCAGACUACUACGGGAGGCAGCAGUGGGGAAUAUUGCACAAUGGGCGGAAGCCUGAUGCAGCCACGCCGCGUGCGGGAUGACGGCCUUCGGGUUGUAAACCGCUUUCGCCUGUGACGAAGCGUGAGUGACGGUAAUGGGUAAAGAAGCACCGGCUAACUACGUG
rnacentral:rRNA from 1 species